AUUGAACGCUGGCGGCAGGCCUAACACAUGCAAGUCGAACAGUAACAGGAAGCAGCUUGCUGCUUUGCUGACGAGUGGCGGACGGGUGAGUAAUGUCUGGGAAACUGCCCGAUGGAGGGGGAUAACUACUGGAAACGGUAGCUAAUACCGCAUAACGUCGCAAGACCAAAGAGGGGGACCUUAGGGCCUCUUGCCAUCGGAUGUGCCCAGAUGGGAUUAGCUAGUAGGUGGGGUAACGGCUCACCUAGGCGACGAUCCCUAGCUGGUCUGAGAGGAUGACCAGCCACACUGGAACUGAGACACGGUCCAGACUCCUACGGGAGGCAGCAGUGGGGAAUAUUGCACAAUGGGCGCAAGCCUGAUGCAGCCAUGCCGCGUGUAUGAAGAAGGCCUUCGGGUUGUAAAGUACUUUCAGCGGGGAGGAAGGGAGUAAAGUUAAUACCUUUGCUCAUUGACGUUACCCGCAGAAGAAGCACCGGCUAACUCCGUG
rnacentral:rRNA from 1 species